rnacentral:rRNA from 1 species
UGGCGAGAUGCUUUACACAUGCNAGUCGUACGAGAGUUUUUAACUCAAGUGGCGGACGGGUGAGUAACACGUAAGAAUUUACCUUUAGGAGGGGGACAACAGUUGGAAACGACUGCUAAUACCCCAUAUGCUUUCGAGUGAAAUGGAUUUUUCCGCCUAGAGAGAAGCUUGCGGCUGAUUAGCUUGUUGGUGAGGUAAUGGCUUACCAAGGCGACGAUCAGUAUCUGGUUUGAGAGGAUGAUCAGACACACUGGAACUGAGACACGGUCCAGACUCCUACGGGAGGCAGCAGUGGGGAAUUUUCCGCAAUGGGCGAAAGCCUGACGGAGCAAUCUCGCGUGAGGGAUGACUGCCUAUGGGUUGUAAACCUCUUUUUUCAGGGAGGAAUUAAUGACGUUACCUGAAGAAUAAGCAUCGGCUAACUCCGUGCCAGCAGCCGCGGUAAGACGGAGGAUGCAAGUGUUAUCCGGAAUCACUGGGCGUAAAGCGUCUGUAGGUGGUUUAGUAAGUCAACUGUUAAAUCUUGAAGCUCAACUUCAAAAUCGCAGUCGAAACUAUUAGACUAGAGUAUAGUAGGGGUAAAGGGAAAUUUCCAGUGGAGCGGUGAAAUGCGUAGAGAUUGGAAAGAACACCGAUGGCGAAGGCNCUUUACUGGGCUAUUACUGACACUCAGAGACGAAGCUAGGGUAGCAAAUGGGAUUANAUACCCCAGUAGUCCUAGCCGUAAACAUGGAACUA